AAAUAUUAAUCCUUUAAAAAAAUGAAUGCAUGUGUAUGAAUGAACAUAUUUUUUAUAUAUUGUUAUAAGAAAGUCUGUUUCACUAUAUAAGACUGAGAUAAGCAGGUGAAGAAAAAGAUUGUGUCUUUACUUACUAACACCAGUUUUUGUAUUUUGCCAAAAAUAUAAAUGACUGAACAUACUGUUUCUGUUGUAGCACCAUUAACUAAACUGAAGAGCUCACAAGAAGGCGUCCUGCCAACUGUAAAGAGACCUGUGCCCCUUCCUCAGGAGCUGAGGUUUCUGAUGC